GUUUAACGUCUUUUGGUUUGACGCGGUCGGGGAUCGAAUGUGAUCGACCUUCUGCUCAUAGGGCGGACGCUCUAACCACUACACCACGGAGUCGGUCGACGAGGCUGUAAGUCAACUGACGGAGCUUGCUAAAUGAAGUCUUUCACUAAGGCCACAUCACACCGGUGUGAUCUGUAUAUACUCUGGUGCAUAGCAAUCUAGUUUUCGGUUAUAACCCUAAUUAGUAACAAACAUGGUACCGAGUCUGUGUAAACGCUGCCUGAACAUGGGCAACUUAUGGAGAUGUGAUCAACUAUUCUUGCCUCAGCAGGUACAUAUUGUUCGUUAAUCGUAUUUGUAGAUUGAUUUUUUUCGGCUAGAUAUGCACAGAAUGGAACUUGUAAUGUGAAAGUAUUUUAUUUUAAUAUAAUCAUAAUCAAUUGUUACAAAAGAAUAUGAAGCUUAAUAUAGCAUGGCACACAAACAUAUUGUCUUAUCUUUGUGGUUGACAUAACGCACGCCAAUAAGGCAUUUGUAUUGCAUAAGAAAUAUUGCACUGUACGAGAAAUAGAGUGAGUGAGUGAGUUUGUGAGUGAGUUCUGUUUUGUGCAACGUUUGGCAAUAAUCAAGCUAAGAAUUGGCUUCAGUGAAUGAAGAA